AUUGAACGCUGGCGGCAGGCCUAACACAUGCAAGUCGAGCGCGUGGCGGACGGGUGAGUAAUGUCUGGGAAUCUGCCUGAUGGGGGGGGAUAACUACUGGAAACGGUAGCUAAUACCGCAUACCCUGAGUUAUCCCCAGAUGGGAUUAGCUAGUAGGUGGGGUAAAGGCUCACCUAGGCGACGAUCCCUAGCUGGUCUGAGAGGAUGACCAGCCACACUGGAACUGAGACACGGUCCAGACUCCUACGGGAGGCAGCAGUGGGGAAUAUUGCACAAUGGGCGCAAGCCUGAUGCAGCCAUGCCGCGUGUAUGAAGAAGGCCUUCGGGUUGUAAAGUACUUUCAGCGGGGAGGCGUUACCCGCAGAAGAAGCACCGGCUAACUCCGUGCCAGCCGCCGCGGUAAUUC
rnacentral:rRNA from 1 species